GAUGAACGCUGGCGGCGUGCCUAAUACAUGCAAGUCGAGCGAACAGACGAGGAGCUUGCUCCUCUGACGUUAGCGGCGGACGGGUGAGUAACACGUGGAUAACCUACCUAUAAGACUGGGAUAACUUCGGGAAACCGGAGCUAAUACCGGAUAAUAUAUUGAACCGCAUGGUUCAAUAGUGAAAGACGGUUUUGCUGUCACUUAUAGAUGGAUCCGCGCCGCAUUAGCUAGUUGGUAAGGUAACGGCUUACCAAGGCAACGAUGCGUAGCCGACCUGAGAGGGUGAUCGGCCACACUGGAACUGAGACACGGUCCAGACUCCUACGGGAGGCAGCAGUAGGGAAUCUUCCGCAAUGGGCGAAAGCCUGACGGAGCAACGCCGCGUGAGUGACGAAGGUCUUCGGACCGUAAAACUCUGUUAUUAGGGAAGAACAAAUGUGUAAGUAACUAUGCACGUCUUGACGGUACCUAAUCAGAAAGCCACGGCUAACUACGUG
rnacentral:rRNA from 1 species